rnacentral:rRNA from 1 species
AUUGAACGCUGGCGGCAGGCCUAACACAUGCAAGUCGAGCGAGCGGCGGGCGGGGGAGUAAUGUAUGGGGACUGCCCGAUAGAGGGGGAUAACUACUGGAAAAGGUAGGUAAUACCGCAUACUAUCGGAUAACGCAGAUGGGAUUAGCUAGUAGGUGAGGUAAUGGCUCACAUAGGGGACGAUCCCUAGCUGGUCUGAGAGGAUGAUCGGCCACACUGGGACUGAGACACGGCCCAGACUCCUACGGAGGCAGCAGUGGGGAAUAUGGGACAAUGGGCGGAAGCCUGAUGCAGCCAGGCCGCGUGUAUGAAGAAGGCCCUAGGGUUGUAAAGUACUUUCAGUCGGGAGGCGUUACCUACAGAAGAAGCACCGGCUAACUCCGUGCCAGCAGCCGCGGUAAUAC